rnacentral:misc_RNA from 1 species
CCCCAAGGGGCGCGCGCCGCCCCCGAAAUACAGUGGCGGUCCCGCCGACGCCUCCCCUGCGUAGUAGCAACACCUCGCACCGGAGCGCGGCGCGGCCCACGCCGUAAAACCCCCGACGUACCUGAAGUUUGACCUCGGAUCAGGUAGGAAUACCCGCUGAACUUAAGC